CAAUAGCGUAUAUUAAAGUUGUUGCGGUUAAAAAGCUCGUAAUUGGAUUUCUGCUGAGAACGACCGGUCCGCCCUUUGGGUGUGUAUCUGGCUCUUUCUUGGCAUCUUCUUGGUGAACGUUGCUGCACUUGACUGUGUGGAGCGCUACCCAGGACUUUUACUUUGAGGAAAUUAGAAUGUUUCAAGCAGGCAUACGCCUUGAAUACAUCAGCAUGGAAUAAUAAGAUAGGACCUCGGUUCUAUUUUGUUGGUUUCUAGAGCUGAGGUAAUGAUUAAUAGGGAUAGUUGGGGGCAUUCGUAUUUAACUGUCAGAAGUGAAAUUCUUGGAUUUGUUAAAGACGGACUACUGCGAAAGCAUUUGCCAAGGAUGUUUUCAUUGA
rnacentral:rRNA from 1 species